rnacentral:rRNA from 1 species
UACGGAGGGUGCAAGCGUUAUCCGGAUUCACUGGGUUUAAAGGGUGCGUAGGUGGGUUGGUAAGUCAGUGGUGAAGUCCCCGAGCUUAACUUGGGAACUGCCAUUGAUACUAUUAAUCUUGAAUACUGUGGAGGUCAGCAGAAUAUGUCAUGUAGCGGUGAAAUGCUUAGAUAUGACAUAGAAUACCAAUUGCGAAGGCAGCUGGCUACACAAAUAUUGACACUGAGGCACGAAAGCGUGGGGAUCAAACAGG